rnacentral:rRNA from 1 species
AGAGUUUGAUCAUGGCUCAGAACGAACGCUGGCGGCGUGCUUAACACAUGCAAGUCGAGUGCGCGCCUGUAGCAAUACAGGUGGCGCACGGCGCACGGGUGCGUAACACGUGGGUAAUCUGCCCUCUGAUGGGGAAUAACUCGCCGAAAGGCGAGCUAAUUCCGCAUAAUAUUCCGAGAACCUCGGUUUUUGGACUGAAAGGCGUAAGUCGUCGGAGGAGGAGCCCGCGCACGAUUAGCUAGUUGGUAGGGUAAUGGCCUACCAAGGCUUUGAUCGUUAGCUGGUCUGAGAGGAUGGCCAGCCACACUGGAACUGAGACACGGUCCAGACUCCUACGGGAGGCAGCAGUGGGGAAUCUUGCACAAUGGGCGAAAGCCUGAUGCAGCGACGCCGCGUGGGGGAUGAAGCUUCUCGGAGUGUAAACCCCUUUCGAUCCGGACGAAUGCCCGCAAGGGAUUGACGGUACGGAUAUAAGAAGCCCCGGCUAACUACGUGCCAGCAGCCGCGGUAAUACGUAGGGGGCCAGCGUUGUUCGGAAUUACUGGGUGUAAAGGGUUCGUAGGCGGUGUGGCAAGUUGGGAGUGAAAUCUCUGGGCUCAACCCAGAGACGGCUUCCAAAACUGCCGUGCUUGAGUGUGAGAGAGGCUCGUGGAAUUGCAGGUGUAGCGGUGAAAUGCGUAGAUAUCUGCAGGAACACCCGUGGCGAAAGCGGCGAGCUGGAUCACUACUGACGCUGAAGAACGAAAGCUAGGGGAGCAAACAGGAUUAGAUACCCUAGUAGUCC